GUUUUGAGCCGUGUAUACAAUUGCAAUGUGGUUAAAUCAAGCUAAUUAACAUAUCUAUCACCUCUCUCAGUUAUUAUUGUUUGUGGCUUCUCCAGGGAAAGUGACCGAGGCAGUGAAAGAGGCCAUUGACGCAGGGUACCGGCACUUCGACUGUGCUUACUUUUACCACAAUGAGAGGGAGGUUGGAGCAGGGAUCCGUUGCAAGAUCAAGGAAGGCGCUGUAAGACGGGAGGAUCUGU
rnacentral:lncRNA from 1 species